rnacentral:rRNA from 1 species
UACGAAGGGUGCAAGCGUUACUCGGAAUUACUGGGCGUAAAGCGUGCGUAGGUGGUCUGUUAAGUCUGAUGUGAAGCCCUGGGCUCAACCUGGGAAUUGCAUUGGAUACUGGCAGGCUAGAGUGCGGUAGAGGGUAGUGGAAUUCCCGGUGUAGCAGUGAAAUGCGUAGAGAUCGGGAGGAACACCAGUGGCGAAGGCGACUACCUGGACC